UAUGGUUUGAUUUUUUAUUUUUUUUUCUCACGUACCCGGAGUUGAGGCGGAUUCAAGUCUUGGAUGCGACUCCGUGAUGAUGAUGUAUCCCCCAGGGCGGAUUCUCUUCUGGGAUGGUGGGCGGUUGUGAUCUAUGGUAACGUCUCCUGGGCGUUGUGCAUUCACGAGUUUUUGAUGGUCGCGUAGUUCGCGGUAGUUCGUUGGUACGCGAUGAUCGCGGAGUUGGAAAGGAAGUAGAGGGUAAUGAUAAUAAUAUUGAGACAGGUGAUUAUUUUCAAUUGAUGACACUGUAUUCUAAAGCACUCGCAUCACACUUAGUUAAUAUUAAAUUGCAACUACAACUUAGGAUUAUUACGUGAAUUUGAAUUACGCUAAGAAUUUUAACUAAAAUUAGAACUUGGAAUUAAACUUGAAAUCAAGUACACUGGAAUUUGGAAGACGACGGUCGUAGUUGAACUCGAGAGAGCUCUGAAGGGACGGGAUCUCUCAGAUUUAGUAGUGAGCACCAAGUGACCGAAGGGACACGCUAAAAUGGCGCUCUCGGUCCCUGGUUUUUUGCGCGCCUCACUGUUCUGAGUGGUGGGGGAACAGAGAAGCGCGCCAUGAUGCGUGGCGUGGGUUGCGCAAAGAAUAGAUCUUAUGGAACUUAUACUCUAUUUACGUUCUAAUGGAAUACUUAAGAUCUAACGAAAUAUAGUUAUUGCGGAAGUGCGCCGUUGCGUAGCGUUGUAUGAGGGAGCUGACCGCCGCGUUCACUACGGCGGCUUAUGAUGUUCGCGAGAAAGAGAAAGAGAGAGAGAGAGAGAGAGAUAAAAUGAUCAAAACGAAAAAGUGGAAAGAAAUUGCCUUGAAUCGUUAUAACCGAAAGAAACUUCCUCCAAAUACCCGGCUUGAGAAGGUUAUCUACAAUUUCAAUGGCAUCUGGCGUUAGUCACCCGAAAGGAUUAUCUCCUAAAUUCUAAUAGUAGUGGGUCGGCGCUCACUUGAACAUAUAUCAUGAAGCAAUUGACAAAUGGCAAUUGACAAAUCUAUAAGAAGUUGACAAGUUGUUUACAACAUUCCCAAUUGAACAAGAAAUUGACAUGCGGUUAAUAUUUUAACUUAAUCGUUUUCUAUUGUCAUCGCCUUUUUACUUGCUUAACACAUAAUUGUUAACAAAUUUUGUAAUUGAAUAGAGCGUGCCAGGUGUAGGAUUUUUAAGGAUAGUUAAGCAAAGUACGAUAGUUCAUUGCGUUGAGGUGUAUCCUCAACGCUCCCUUAUAUCGUACGGAAAUUUAUUUCUUUUGUGAAAGGAAGCAGUUUGCGAUCCCAUCGACGCUUAAGGCGGACAAGGUGAACCUCUUUCACGCACGGGGAUCACUAUCAAAGAAACGUUCCCUUCUCUGGUGCAGAACACUAGUAAUAGAA